rnacentral:rRNA from 1 species
UACGAAGGGGGGCUAGCGUUGCUCGGAAUCACUGGGCGUAAAGCGCACGUAGGCGGCUUACUAAGUCAGGGGUGAAAUCCUGGAGCUCAACUCCAGAACUGCCUUUGAUACUGGCGAUCUCGAGUCCGGGAGAGGUGAGUGGAACUGCGAGUGUAGAGGUGAAAUUCGUAGAUAUUCGCAAGAACACCAGUGGCGAAGGCGGCUCACUGGCCCGGUACUGACGCUGAGGUGCGAAAGCGUGGGGAGCAAACAGG